rnacentral:lncRNA from 1 species
GAGUUCAUAACUCGAAGAACCGCCCAGCGGCGUUCAAUAGGACAUUAUUGCUAUCGAAUUCACAACUCAUAGGAAGUGCUUAGGUGUCCUUGGAUUUUUUUUUUCGGUGUUCGGUAAUU